rnacentral:ncRNA from 1 species
GUGUUGUAUGAAAGGAGAGACGUUUAGCACUCCCCUAGACAAGGAUGGACAAUACAUAUAAUGGUAGGCACUGUCGUCUUUGACGGCACUUACCAACAUUUUUUU